GGUAAUUUUCCGCAAUGGGCGAAAGCCUGACGGAGCAAUACCGCGUGAGGGACGAAGGCUUUUGGGUCGUAAACCUCUUUUCCCUGAGAAGAAGAUCUGACGGUAUCAGGGGAAUAAGCAUCGGCUAACUUCGUGCCAGCAGCCGCGGUAAUACGAGGGAUGCAAGCGUUAUCCGGAAUUAUUGGGCGUAAAGCGUCCGCAGGUGGCUCUGUAAGUCUGUCGUUAAAGAAUGGGGCUUAACCCCAUACAGGCGAUGGAAACUACAAGGCUAGAGUUUGGUAGGGGUCACGGGAAUUCCUAGUGUAGCGGUGAAAUGCGUAGAUAUUAGGAAGAACACCAGCGGCGAAAGCGCGUGACUGGGCCAGUACUGACACUCAUGGACGAAAGCUAGGGGAGCGAAAGGGAUUAGAUACCCCUGUAGUCCUAGCCGUAAACGAUGAUAACUAGGUGUUGCCCGUAUCGACCCGGGCAGUGCCGUAGCCAACGCGUUAAGUUAUCCG
rnacentral:rRNA from 1 species